GGUCUAUAUAUCUGUCAACUGUGAAAGAGGUGUGGCCUAAAUGUCUGUCAGUCCCACAAAGGGGGCAUGGCCUUACAGCUGUCCUGUACAGUGAAGGAGGUGUGGCCUAUAUGUCUGUACCUGUCAGUCCUAGCGAAGGAGGUGUGUCCUCUGUACCUGUCAGUCAAAGUGAGAGAGGCAUGUCCUCUGUACCUGUCAGUCCUAGUUAAGGAGGCGUGUCAUCUGUACCUUUCAGGUAUAGUGAAGGAGGUGUGUCCUCUGUACCUGUCAGUCUUAGUGAAGGAGGCGCGUGUCUCUGUACCUGUCAGUCUUAGUGAAGGAGGCGUGUCCUCUGUAUGUGUCCGUCCUAGUGAAGGAGGUGUGUCCUCUGUAUCUGUCUGUCCUAUUGAAGGAGGUGUGUCCUCUGUACCUGUCAGUCUUAGUGAAGGUGUGUCCUCUGUAUCUGUCCGUCCUAGUGAAGGAGGCGUGUCCUCUGUAUGUGUCCGUCCUAGUGAAGGAGGUGUGUCCUCUGUAUCUG
ensembl:lncRNA